CUGAGGACACUGAAGACAGAGUCGAAAUUGAAGCUACCGUACCUUUCCGUACCAGCACACCUUCGCGGAGAGGAGAGAUGUAAUGAAUGGCAAAUAGCUUCAUAAUGUCAGAGUGCAUUAAGGCUUAUAUCAGCCUGGCGUCAACUUCACUGGCACUAAUGAUAUCUGUGUGCUUCAACAUUAUGUUCUAUGUAAUGAGAAGAAGAGACAAAAGAAGAGCAGGUAUGUAUAUGGACAAUACAUGAGAAACCACAGCAUGCAGGGGGAGACUAACUGGGACAUCUGCUGUUCAUGGACAUCGAUUUUAUUAUCCACAUAAAACUGAAUUAGUAUAAAAUGUUCUGUAAUUGUAAUUGACUACGUAAGUUGACUACAUUUUUGGAAUGGCAUCUCAUCUCAAAGUAAAUUCUAAUAAGGUUCCAAAACAAAAACAUGAGUUACAAUGAGGGCCAACUACUCACAUGAAAAUUAGUUUUGAAAAAGACUUUUUCAUUCAGCUCUGAAUGCUCGUCUAUUGCGGAAUACGGCAAGACGCUACAUUAGUAUCCAUCUGUAUUGCUUUUUCUGCAGAGGAAGAGGAGGAAAAGUACCAGCUCUCACAUUAUAUUCACAGGAUGAGCAGGUUUGAAGAAGAUCAUAUGCAGCACAAGGAGAAUCCCAUCUAUGGAAAUAUUUGCACAGAUGGACGAGGAUCUGAAGAUGAUGUGUGCUAUGAGCAUAUGGCAGGCACAGGCAGCAGAGUGCAAAAAUCGGAUCACAUUGCAGACAUCUCGUAUGCCUCUCUGGAUCUGAAUAACUUUAAAAAAAAGAAGAAGACAUGGCAAUACCAGCAAAGCCACCCUCAGCUGCAACAGGAGCCACCUCAGGCCAGUGUUGAAGAGGACCUGCUGGGGGAUCCUGAGAUGAAUGUCGACCACCUGUCCAGAGACAGCAGCCUCAUCGUGUCCCACAAUGACAUCUACCUUAACAGCCAACAGAUUUCACAGGAAGCUGAGGAGAUGGGGAGGGAGAGAGAGAGGAAGGGACUGAGGAAAUGGGAGAUGGACAGAGCGAGAGAGCGAAAUCCUGAAAAAGACCAGCCGAUGGACCGGGACAUGAACUUGGGGGAUGCUCCUGAUGACCUUGCUUAGGCCCAACACAUCUUGCCCAUGUAGGUUGCCCUACAGGACGAGUUGAAAAUCAGGGUCAUUCAGAGUUUCCCCUUCUCCUUUAUGGCGUCUGACUGUCUGAGUGUGAGUGACUCAUGACUGAAUCACAGGGUUGUGUGUCUGGUUAGAUGUUUUUCUAGACUUUUCAGUCUAUAAUAGAUGUAUAAAAAAAUUGGUGACAGAAUAUAACCUGAAUUGUAUUCAGGUUUUCAUUACCUCAAAUGUUAACGUUUGUCUUGAUAACUAGCAGUUAUUAUAUUAUUUACAUUUAAAAACAUAAAAAAAAAAAAACUCAAUGUUAGAAAGGACAUAGAAUAAUUUUGAUCAUAACCAUGGCAAAAUAAGCUUUGCAAUCCUUUGAUCAAAUCUAACGCAGAGCCAGCAGACACCCUUCCAGCAUACAGCUGGAAUUUCAGUCUGUUAUUGCCUCCCGGUUAGGGAUGAGUUUUGGAUCUAUUUCAAAAUAUCACCUUCUUUCUUCCACCAAUCACUCCGUACACAUAGAUGGACAACACAAUCACACGAACAAGAGAGGUGGUCAACACUGUCAAUGAUUAAACACACAAGAUGAAUUAUGAAUCAUUCUAUAGGAAUCUGUCUGAAUGCACUGUAAGAAUUAUUAGUAAUAUUUGAAUCGCUAGUGUAUACCGUGAGACAUAACACUGUGAUGACACCCGUGCCAGAGGGUCUGCAACAUCAAGUGCGUAGCCAUGUUUAUGCAGCAUGUGCACAGGUCAUCAUGCAUUGAACUGGUAUUGGGAAAACCAAUGGAAAACCAUUAAUAGAAUGUGGAUUAUCUCUGCAAUACCAUUAACAAUGUAUUAAUAUUAAUCAGCCUAGCUGGAAUAUAUUAACAAAUCUAAUCAGUCUAUGUUCAUGCACACAUUUUUCAGCCAUUAUAUUCUGCAUAAUAAACAAACC
ensembl:lncRNA T-cell receptor-associated transmembrane adapter 1-like